UAGGGAAUCUUGGACAAUGGGCGAAAGCCUGAUCCAGCCAUGCCGCGUGGGGGAUGAAGGCCUUCGGGUCGUAAACCCCUUUUCUGGGGGACGAACGAGCAGAGGAGGAAAUGCCUUUGCUGUGACGGUACCCCAGGAAUAAGCAACGGCUAACUCCGUGCCAGCAGCCGCGGUAAUACGGAGGUUGCAAGCGUUGUUCGGAAUUACUGGGCGUAAAGGGAGCGCAGGCGGUCGGGUCUGUCUGAAGUGAAAGCCCGUGGCUUAACCACGGAAGUGCUUUGGAUACUACCCGGCUUGAGUACGCGAGAGGAGAGCGGAAUUCCAGGUGUAGCGGUGAAAUGCGUAGAUAUCUGGAGGAACACCGGUGGCGAAAGCGGCUCUCUGGCGCGUUACUGACGCUCAGGCUCGAAAGCGUGGGGAGCAAACA
rnacentral:rRNA from 1 species